AACUCAAAUGAAUUGACGGGGGCCCGCACAAGCGGUGGAGCAUGUGGUUUAUUCGAUGCAACGCGAAGAACCUUACCUGGUCUUGACAUCCAUAGAAUUCUGCAGAGAUGUGGGAGUGCCUUCGGGAACUAUGAGACAGGUGCUGCAUGGCUGUCGUCAGCUCGUGUUGUGAAAUGUUGGGUUAAGUCCCGCAACGAGCGCAACCCUUAUUCUUUGUUGCCAGCGAUUUGGUCGGGAACUCAAAGGAGACUGCCGUUGAUAAAGCGGAGGAAGGUGGGGACGACGUCAAGUCAUCAUGGCCCUUACGACCAGGGCUACACACGUGCUACAAUGGCGUAUACAAAGGGAAGCGAAGGUGCGAGCUGGAGCGGAUCUCAUAAAGUACGUCUAAGUUCGGAUUGGAGUCUGCAACUCGACUCCAUGAAGUCGGAAUCGCUAGUAAUCGUAGAUCAGAAUGCUACGGUGAAUACGUUCCCGGGCCUUGUACACACCGCCCGUCACACCAUGGGAGUGGGUUGCACCAGAAGUAGAUAGCUUAACCGCGAGGGGGGCGUUUACCACGGUGUGAUUCAUGACUGGGGUGAAGUCGUAACAAGGUAACCA
rnacentral:rRNA from 1 species